AUCUCUGGUUCCUGUGCCAGUCAAUCUGAUCAGAGAUGAGUGGAAGAGAAAGAAUAAGUACCAACACCAGCUGAUGGAAAAUUCACUGCCUUUUUGUAAUACAAUGGUUCACUCAGUCACCUCCCUGCUCAGGUCAAAAAGCGCAGGUGAUGCCAAAGCCUCAGCUUGCCUACAGGAAUGUUUAAUGUCGAGCAAGUUACAGAAGUCCGGAAUGGUGGGCUGGAGGAAGAAAUGUUGAAGGCAGCCGGCUCUGUUUUAAUAACUCCCUGCAACCAAGGUGGGCCACCUUUUCGAGUAAGUCUUGGGAAAGAGGAAAUGAGGUCACCUUGGAAAACAUGGUGGCUGAGAGGAUAUGGCACACAGCCUGGUAAAAGAAGUCACCUCCAUGGUAUCAGAAGCCACAUGAAAAUCUUUGGGAGUGAUGUUAUCUCAAAGCAGUGAGAAGAGGCACCUGGAGGAAGGUUUCUCCAUUCCCUGAAUUCAGGGAGCUACACGCUGUGUACAAAAAUGUUAAUACCAUUUUCCUCAAUGGUAUUUUUUUCAAUAACUCUUUCGUUAUUGGAUCAGAACAGUAAUAGCUAAUUGAUCACACAAAAGGUUUGACAAACUGAGUGAAGUGUAGGUUGCAUUUUCAAUUGCACCCCACAGUAUGACCACAUGCUUUUGACAAAAUGAAGUUAUUCCAAAUUUAGGCCUAAAGCAUGGUUCGGUCUUACAUGCAUGAGCACGGAUGGAUUCUCAAGAUUGCACAUUCCCAAUGUGCCCCCUCUCCCUCUCUCCUUGUACAGUACAUGACAAUUCUCUUCCUCCUUUCUUGGUUUGGGCACAAAAUGCUAAGGUAAACUAUGGUUUGGUCUUACACCUAGGUUCUCCAUAUCUUUCUUGCUUGGCUCUGAAACUCAGCUUCCUUAUAUAUAGGAAUGAUACUUGAUAAUUACCUACGGAGAUUAGCAUUGCUCAUCAUGUUAAAAGUAUUGGUAUGAGUCCUGUAAGUAUUUAAACAGCAGUCACAGGUGUAAACCUGGCUUUGCAGUUUUCAAAACACACAUACAGUUCAGCAAGUCAACUCCUGGAUCAUCCUAUAUUUCCCCCAUAUCUUCAGGUAGCCUGUCCAAACAAAUUUUAAAGCAGCAAUUGUGGGGCUGUUUGUUGCUCACAACAGUAGCUGGCAGGAUGCUUUAAACAGUGGGAGUGCACCCUCUUCAUCAUCCUUAUGCUUUGCUUACCACAAAGGAGGAUUUUGUGCAGCACUACAGAAAGAGUGAAUGAGAUGAGAGUUUGGAUUUCUUAUUCUGGAUUUGGAAAUGCAACAUGAAGAACAAGAGAAAAAACACCCAUUCAGCUCCCAUGCUGAGGUUUCCACCGGCAGGCAUACUGCAAGACAUCUGGGGUUGCUCCAGAACCUGAGAUGCUUGGUGGGAGUGAAAUGAACUGAGUAGCUUGGUAUUGUACUCUUGUCUAAACUGUCGGCUUUCUAGGGGAGAUUGACCUUGGUGCAACAGUACAAAUUGUGAACAGCAUCGAAGGCAACUUCAAGAAGUGACUGAUAGAAGUUUACCUUUGAGUUUCCUUCCGUGAGCUUCCCCAACUUCUCCUUUAACUCUGGGCUUAGAUUUUUUGUUUGUUUGUAAUGACUACAAAGUUCUUUUAAUCAGAUUUCCUUGUCCCUCCUGGAGCAUUUAAUUAAGUCUUUACCACCCCCUGCUCCAUACUCCUAAUGAUGUUUUUCGGUCCGGAAAUAAUGUCUCUCAUCAAGGGGGAGCAAAGUCGCUACUCUGUUGGGGCCUUUUCCAUUUUUGCAGCUGAUUACAAGCCAAAAAAGGAGGACACAGAAGGCACACCUAAUUAGAAAUAGAUUGGGUGAAGGAGCCAGAAAGGCAAUUGCAGGCUUUGAGGAAAGGCUAUGCAAAUGAGGGAGUAGAAGGCUGAGCUGUGAAGGCCGGACAAAGAAGUUUUAUUCACAUGCUGCAACAGGGUCUUUUCAAGCUUGUAGACUGGUACCCUGUGGCAUCUUCUCUUAUGUGGCUUUUCCCCACCUCUCCAUAUGUUGUAGCUCUCUCACACUUUUAUUUGCCUCAUUGAUAUCACACACAUACAAAAUGCAGAUUAAUAACAUGGAAAAAACAUUAUACAAAUUAAGUAAAAGUGCACAAGUUUAAUCUUGGCUAUAGGUAAGAAAUCUGCUUUAUAUUGAUCACUUCUGGUGAGAUAGCUCCAAGGCAUUUUCUUAGAAUAAGCUUCCUUAUAUAAUCAGUUUGUUGAUCAAUUCUUUGCUGAUCAAUGUUUCGUUUGGAUUUUUGAGCAGAGUUAGUUUUAAAAUCAAACUGCAACCUGAUGUGAACUAAUCAAUAGUGGUAAUAAAAAUAUAGCUGUCAACUAAAAUAUAGAUUGCCUAUAACGGGCGUAAAUCUACAACACUAUCAAUAGAACAUGGAGAAUUGUCAAAAUGGCAAAGAAAACAGAAUACCUGUAUAUAAUGAUAGGCAGCUUUGAUAAAUCUUGACUUCAUGUACUGACGGCAUGAAAAUGAGUUCAGUUUGUUAACAAACCGUAUAUAAGGGUUUUCCGUUGUCUCCUUCAUAAACUUGUAUUUGUAAUGUUGUAUAAUCAGUGUCUUUUUCUUCUUUUGUACUCCUGCAUUUGAAAGAAUGACUAAAAAGAGACAUGAAAAAAGGAGCAAAACAUCUGAUAUUGCUCCAGAAUUUUACAUCCAUUAAAGAGUCAUAUGGACCAAA